UCUCCCCAUCCUUAAGCCAAUGAACGUACUGCUUGGACUCUGACUGGACUUCCCGCUCUUUGCACUCUGCCGGAUAAAUGCAGCCUGACUCAAACUCUGAAAGGACCGCUUGGAGCUUGGUGCGGCACGCCUUUGACAAUAGCCAUUGCUCUGCAGCUCUGCAAUCAACUGUAUUUCUGCAGACUUGAAUUUGUAGGUAAAGAAAAAUAACUCAAGAUUCCUGAAGGAACUGUUAGCAUCUCUUUCCUGGAACAAGUACUUAAACCAUGCAUCUCUGAUUCUGGAACCAGGGUUCCUUGAGGAUGGACGGGGGAGAAAGAUUCAGAACUGGGAUUUCUUUCAGAAAAAGCACUCCCUGGGUUGAUUCACUUCCAGCUGCAGCUCCACAGGGUGAAGCGGGUCCUGAGGAAGUGGUCAGAGGGCAGCAGAGAGCGCUUCCUUUCACACAAGGCCUCCAGAGCAGAAGCGAAGCCUCGUAACAUCUCCAUCCGAAAUCUCUCCUGCCCCACAGCCCCUCUCUCCAGCUUACAGACGCACAUUUUUGUGUUGUCCAUUUUUUCAGAUCCUCCUGUACCUGUGUAGAGUUUUCCUUCCAGGUGGGAGAUCCCUGUGUUCACAGUCAUGGGAGCUGGAAUACCUCUUAGCACUCAGCUCUCUGCUCGCCCACAUGUUCAUGUGUUCACUCGGCAUCCACCAUGUGCCCUUGGCACAGACCCUGCCCUUGGGCUUCACACAGUGUGACCAUGCAGCAUGACCUCCUCAUUGUCGGUCCAGCUGGAAAUCUAAGGAGAAAAACCUUCCCAAGCCACACUGAGCAUCUCUUGGCUGGUGGCAUAGCAUUUCCAAAAAUAAAAUCUCACAGAGCAAUUACAUAUUAAAAAUGUUAUAGUCACAGGUU